rnacentral:lncRNA from 1 species
AAGUUCAGGACCUUCGAGCGAACACCUUGGUGGCGUUCGUGACCUCCGAAUGAGAUUCGUGGCCUUCUAGUGAGGUUGGCGAACACCUUGAUGGCAUUCGUGACCUUCGAAUGAGAUUCACGACCUCCGAGUGAGGUUGGCGAAAGAUGUCCGGUCUGGUGAAGUUUUCGGCGCACCGACAAGAACCACACCAGAAGAUAAUUUUAAGACACUUAUUAUUUUAAAACGAAAUAAAUAAUUUAUUAAGAAAAUUAAGAUAGAUAACAAACAUCAUCAAAUGAUUGAUAUAACAAAACAACAUACAAAAUCACGACUCAAACUACCUAGACUCACUCCCAUGAAAUCACUAAUCCCAUCAAGCAACAAAGUUUCAUCAAAUUCAAUAAAGACACCAUCCAUUGGCUCAAAACAUAAGAGGAGUGGGAGAAGGAGUGGGAGCGGGAGCAGAUGAGGGAGGAGAAGAUGGAGUGGGAGUGGAUGAUGGAGGAGAAGAUGGAGUUGGAAUAGGAGGAGUGGGAGUGGGAGCAGAUGAGGGAGGAGAAGAUGGAGUAGGAAUAGGAGAAGGAGUGGGAGUGGGAGCAGAUGAGGGAGGAGAAGAUGGAGUGGGAAUAGGAGCGGAAGAGGGAGCAGAUAAUGGACUUGGAAUGGGAGAAGAAGCAGGAGUGGGAGCGGAUGAGGGAGGAGAAGAUGGAGUGGGAAUGGGAGAAGGAGCGGGAACGGAUGAGGGAGGAGAAGAUGGAGUGGGAAUGGGAGAAAGAGGAGCAGGAGCGGAAGUGGGAGAAGAUGGUCGAGGAGGAGAGGGAAGUGGUGGUGGGGAAAGAGAAGGAGGUGCAGAAAAAAUACAAUUAGUAUUACAUUUUGUAUAAGUAACUCCGCAUCCAAAGAGACAUGUCGGAUUCAGAAAAGUACAAGCAAACACGCAACUUUCUUUGUCUUUCAAGCAAUUCUGCAAGCAAGCAAAUGUUGCAUUCGUUCCCGUAGAUUUUAAGGCAAUGAGAAGCACCAGCAACACCGACAGAAUUGUCUUCAUAGUAUGAGUUAGCUUGAGAAGAAUAUUGGGUGAGUUUUGAUAGAAUUGCGCAAUCAUUUUAUAGGCAAUCAAACUUGCAAUCCUUAAGAAGGAUCUGGGAUACGAUCAUAUUGGAUUUCGGAUUUAAUUUUUUUUUUAAUUACCAAAUCUAAGUAUAUAUGAUUUUAUAUAUAAAUGGCAGAAAAGUAAUUAUAUGCUAUCUUUGUAAGAUUUUUCUAUGCAUUUGAUCAUUAAAAUUUAGAAUCCUAUAAAUUUCAAAAUUUGAUUAAAAAAUUCUUGGGUAAAUACUAAAUAUGAUGGGUAUUUGAUAAUUACAAAUCAUAUAAUUAGAAAUGUAGAAUGCAAAAAUAAUCAUAUUCAAAACAUUCUAUUUAAUGCAAAAAAAAAAAGUUUGUUCGGUUCGGAUUCCAAUAAAUUCUCUAAAUUGAGAUCGUAUAUAUAUUUUAUGAGCUAGUAUCAGGUGUGUCAAACCUCCCAUGUGUCAAAAUACGUCGAAUUUUUUUCCGAUCGUUAGAUAUUAAUCGAUCGACUGACAAUGCAUUAUUCAUCAACGAUUAAACUCUGUACAAUGAGUUGUACGUUGUAUAUACAUUAUCAUUGAGUUGUACUGUAUUACGUUGUAUUGACGUAUUUAACACAUCCAAUUUUGAUACAUGCACCAGAUGUGUGCCCUAUAUUUUAUAUUUCGAGCAUAAGUUAUAUAUCAUCCACAAUAAUAGCUUAGAUUUACAUUAGAAAUUGAUUGAGAGGAUCAGAUUAAUCACUUCCAAAACAAAAAGAUGUUGUAAGUUUAUGUUUAUCUUAUUUUAUAUAUUUUUUGCUUUAAUAAUUCUUUCUUGUUGAGAGUUUUAAACUUAAUGUCAUUUUUAAGAUGAUGAAAUUUUGGAAAAUAAAUACAAAUGUAUGAUUCUCAAUGAAUAAGAAAAAUGUUAUGAUGAUGAUUAAGGAUUGGAUUAAAAAAAUAAAAUAUACUAUAACAUAUUUAUUUUUUAUUUUCAAACAAUAAAUAUCUUAAAAAUUAAAAUACAUAUUUAAAUAAUUAAAUGUUAAACUAAUCGAACUCAAAGUAUACAGUUUGAACACUAUAAUUUAUUUUAACAAACGAAUCAAACACUAUAAAUUUUAAACGAUCUAAAUUCGAAAAGUUACGUUAAUUAAACGAACCGGAUCUAAAUCUAAAGAGUAGACUCGUUUUUUUAAACAAAUCGAAUCUAAUAUUAGGUGAUAACAUCUCUAGUAGUUGAUAUCGUACUGUCAUCACAGUUAAAGUGAUUUGAAGGUCUAAGGUUCAAUUUUAGUAUAUGUAUUUAAAAAUUUACAACAAUAUUUUUUUAUGAAUAUAUAUUAGAUCUCCACCAUAAUUUAUCAUAAAUCAUUGUUCUAAUUUCUAAACAUCAUUUCUAAAGGUGUAAAUGGGUCGGGUCCAGAUACGGUCUAGACCUGGACGUCUGGGCCCGAGUCUAGGACUACUUUUAGACCCAUUAUAGGAUUUGGACCCGGAGGUCCAGGUCUAGAUUAGUCAGACCCGGACCCAAAUAUUAUAAAUGUUUAAGAUAAAUAUUUUAUAAUAUAUUAAUAACUUAGAGAGUUAGGGUUUAAAUAUAAAUAUUUUAAUAAAUAUUUUAUAAUAUAUUAGUACCUUAAGGGUUAAAUAUAAAUACACCAAAAAUAUCUUGAAAUAAUAUAUUUUUAUUAACUAUUUAGUCUAUUUUUGUAUAUUUAAUUAUUUAUUGAAUUUUUUUUAGGUAAAAAAAUCAUUUAUCAGACCCGAACCUGGUCCAGAUCCGGACCAACUUCAUGGGUCCGGGUCCAUGCCAGUCAGCCAAACUCGAUCUAUUUACACCCUUAAUCAUUUCAUUAUUUUAAACUUACCAAACGGUCCAUUGACAUUUGUUACUUGUUAGUGUGUCAGGGUAGGGGUGAGCGGGGCGCCGGGGACGGGGAAAUCCUCGGUCCCAAAAAUUGUCUCCGUCCUCGGUCAAUUUUUUUUUUUUAAUUUUUUUAAAUUUAUUGUAAACAAUAAUUUACAAAAAAUACUAAUGUUAGUAUGUUACUACUUACUAUUUACUAAUGUAAUUAAAAUAUUGAUUUAAAUGUAAAUAGUCUAAAUAAUUACUAGAGGUCAGCGGUGAAACAAGAAUAAGAACUAGAUGGUCGGCGGUGGUUAUUUGAAUAUUUGAAGUUGGAGAUUAGGUUUAACUUUUUAAUUAGGAUAUAGAUUUAAUUUUACGAUUUUAAAAAUAAAUUUAUCUAUUUAAUAUAUUGUAUAAGAUUAUUUAUAUAAAUUAUAUAAUAUUAAUUUUUUAUAUGGUUUAUAUACAAUUUUCCUCGGAUACGGGAUUUCGAUCCCCAUACCCGUAUCCGAAAAUGAUUAGGAAUUUCAGUCGGAGACGGGGUCAGGGAUUUUCCUAUUUCGAGUAGAAAAAUCCUUCCCUUCACCCCUAUGUGGCUAUGUCAGGGUCUAAGGAUUUUAUUAUUUUGAUGAUAAUAAAUAUAUUUUUUAUUAAUCUUGAUCUCUUAUGAAUUCAGAAUCAAAUUAAAACAAAACAAUUGAUGUCUGCUUUAGUUUUAGUUUCUCAACUUGUAUCUUGAAAAUACUUUUUUAUAAAAAUAUAUAGGAUCAACACGAGAUAAAAAUAUAAAAAUGUUCAUCUAUCAAAGUUUAAAAUUCGAAAGAGGUGGCAUAUUUUACUUUUUGAAAUGAAUAAAUUACCAACUAAUUUAAAACUAUAAAAAAAAUAGUACGUUCUAGAGAACCUUAACUGAAAUUGACUAUUUACCUCUUAUAAAGGAAUAUAUUAUCAGUUAAAUAGUUUUAAAAAGUUAAAUGAAAAUUACAUACAUAUAAAUCAUCAUUGUAUUUAAUAGUUACUGUGAACAGUUAAGUUAAUAUAUCUGUCUCUGUCCUUAGGAUUUUUUAAUAUCGGCUAACUCUUGAAGAAAUUUCAACGAUUCCUUUAAUUAUUGAAUUCUCACCUACCCAAUCAAUGAAAUCAGUGGUGAAGAAAAUUUCGAUUUAAAAAAAAUCAAUAGAAAAUAAUUGAUGCCGUGUUUAGACAGUAUACCAGUAUUGACCAAAUAAGGCGAUAGUUUAUUAUAAAUACCAUCUAACCUUAUCUCUACCAUAUAUCACAAUUCACAACACUCCACUCAUCCUUCUCCAAAUUAGCUUCUCUCAAUCCCUUUUCCUCACUCUUUUAGCAGCAUAUCAUGGGGAUCAAGCUCUAUGGAGUCGCCAUGUCAACGGCCACACAAAGAGCACUUGCUUGUCUGUACGAGAAGGAGGCAGAUUUCGAAUUCGUCACCGUCGACAUGAAAUCCGGGGAGCACAAGAAUGAACUUUUCCUUAAAAAGAACGUACGUAUGAGUUGUGUUACAUAUAAUAUUUAUUGGGCUUGAUUGAUGAAUCAUUGCGGAAUGAAAAUUAAUGGAUAUAUAUCUCUUUUGUAUGUGUGCAGCCAUUCGGUCAGGUACCGGCAAUGGAAGACGGCGAAAUCACCUUAUUCGAAUCCAGAGCUAUAUCACAAUUCGUAGCACACACCUUCAUGGCACAGGGAACACAAUUCAUCUUCCCUCAAGAUAAGAAGAAGAUGUCCGGAAUUGCCCCAUGGAUGGAGGUGGAAUCAACCAAGUUCGACCCAAUUGCCUCGAAGCUCGUGUACGAGUGCAUGUACAAACCCAUGUUCGGCAGGGGUACCCCCGACGAGGCUGUCGUUGCUCAGCUUGAAGAAGAUCUUUGCAAGGUGUUGGAUGUGUACGAAGCUAGACUAGGCGAGUGUGCUUAUUUGAGCGGUGACGAUUUCGGCCUCCCUGACCUUCACCAUCUACCGACGAUUAACUGCAUCAUGAAGAUUGAUUCCAAGAAGAUCAUUGAGGCUCGCCCAAAUGUCAGCAAGUGGGCUGCUACCAUUCUAGCUCGUCCUUCUUGGACAAAGGUUUUGGCCCAGAAUUAAUUCACGCAACUUCAAAGUCAAAACAUAUCAGUUUGGUCGGUAAUUAGUAGUAAAUAAGUUCCGACGU